rnacentral:rRNA from 1 species
GUCGAGGGGCAGCAUGGUCUUAGCUUGCUAAGGCCGAUGGCGACCGGCGCACGGGUGAGUAACACGUAUCCAACCUGCCGUCUACUCUUGGACAGCCUUCUGAAAGGAAGAUUAAUACAAGAUGGCAUCAUGAGUCCGCAUGUUCACAUGAUUAAAGGUAUUCCGGUAGACGAUGGGGAUGCGUUCCAUUAGAUAGUAGGCGGGGUAACGGCCCACCUAGUCUUCGAUGGAUAGGGGUUCUGAGAGGAAGGUCCCCCACAUUGGAACUGAGACACGGUCCAAACUCCUACGGGAGGCAGCAGUGAGGAAUAUUGGUCAAUGGGCGAGAGCCUGAACCAGCCAAGUAGCGUGAAGGAUGACUGCCCUAUGGGUUGUAAACUUCUUUUAUAAAGGAAUAAAGUCGGGUAUGGAUACCCGUUUGCAUGUACUUUAUGAAUAAGGAUCGGCUAACUCCGUGCCAGCAGCCGCGGUAAUACGGAGGAUCCGAGCGUUAUCCGGAUUUAUUGGGUUUAAAGGGAGCGUAGAUGGAUGUUUAAGUCAGUUGUGAAAGUUUGCGGCUCAACCGUAAAAUUGCAGUUGAUACUGGAUAUCUUGAGUGCAGUUGAGGCAGGCGGAAUUCGUGGUGUAGCGGUGAAAUGCUUAGAUAUCACGAAGAACUCCGAUUGCGAANGCAGCCUGCUAAGCUGCAACUGA